UUGUACAAUUUUUUAUUAAUGGAACACUGGAAAUUGUUUUGUGGGAUCUCGGAGGAAAAGAAGAAAUGAAAAUCUUUUGGAAUAAAUACUAUAAUGAAGUUGAUGCAGUCAUAUUUAUAUUUGAUGGGACCGUUUCUGAAGUUCAUGCCAUGUU